GUGUAUAUUAUGGAUUGAAAACAUGGCGAUACCACUAUAGGACACGAUACAUCGUUGUAAAUUAGUCAAUGCUGGCAAAUAUUCGGCCUUUCGAUUUGAAAUAAUGAAAUAUGUAUGUGGUGAAAAUGUAGGAUAUUCCAUAUGAUAUGUGUAUCACUUCUUAUCAACUUAUCCUAUAAAAAUCUUACACUCAUGGAUGUAUCCAUAAUGUAGGGGGGAAAUGUGCACAGCGGAGCAUCCAGACAACCGAGUAGAGCGAUAUGAAAUAGCCAAGACAACACCCCCACUCAAUACAGUUGCCUACCUCACUGGAACGCGGGCAAUAACAAACACCACGUGACUGACUGCAGUACAGUGAGUCUAGACGCACGAGAGACUAGUGCUCAGAGCCUCCACGAUGUCCGGCGGAGAGGAGGAGAAAAGAAAAAGAUGCACCAGCGCAUCCCGAAACGGACCCAAGGGCUCAGAGUCGUCAGGGUGGAGACGGCUACUAGAAACCAAUCCAGAGGGGCUGGUGGAGGUUGCUGCUGAUGAUGGUGAGGAUGGGACAGGCUUGAGGGGUACGAGGGGUGCCUCUCGUAGAGGGGCAGGGCCAUCGCAGGACUGGGUGAUGGAGGUUGUUUUGGGAAUGGCCCCCUGCGAAGAGGCGGAUCCUCUUUCUUUAACCCAUGUCUCUCCUGUUUACCUUUGAACCCCGGCUCAGCAGCCCAUCUCUGAUGUACCGAGGGCCUCCACUUUGGGCCAGUCUCCGCGCCGGCCCAGUGAUGGAUGACCAUUGGCAUGCCAACACCGCACCAUAUUUCAAUUUCCUGCACAGGCAGAGGAAUUCUGAGGGGUUGACCGGAGUUCUGCCGCACAGUGUGGGCCCGCCAGCUGAACCUGCCCGGCAACAUGGAGACACAAGGCCCAAACAGCCAGGAACAUUCCAGAACCCAGGAGCUCUCUCUCUCUGACAUUCCCUCUCUCUCCUUCUCUCUCUCUCUCUCUCUGUGUCAGCCUUCUUGUUGACCUCCAGCGAAACAGACUGGGUCACAGCCACAUGGGUGAACACAGGAGAUAGGGCAGGAAUAACACAGUAACAGGCAGUUAAUGAACAUGAUUUGUUUUUUUCCGAUAACAACACACUCUCUCCAGGUAAUAUUAGAUGUUCUCAGUUUUACUAUUAGUUUUUUGGUAAAUGGACAAAUAGGGUUUUCAAGAGAAAACUAUAGUAAUUAUGG
rnacentral:lncRNA from 1 species